AGUACAUUAAACACGUGGGAGUUCCCGCUGUGGUUCAGCACAUCACGAACCUAGUAUCCAUGAGGAUGUGGGUUUGAUUCCUGGCCUUGCUCAGUGUUAAGGAUCCAGCAUUGCUGUGCCUAUGGCAUAGGCUGGCAGCUUCAGCUCCCAUUCAACCCCUAGCCCGGGAACUUCCAUAUGCAGCCCUAAAAAAGCAAAAAAAAAAAAAAAAAAAAAAAAUUUAAAAAAAUUUUAAAAAAAAACAAACAAAAAAACCCCCACAAAAAAUCCAACAGAGUACAUCAAGCACAGUUGCUAGGAAGCCUAGAUAAGGGACAUUCAAAUCUGACUUCUUGAUGGGGGAAGGCUUCCCCGAAGAAGGGCUUGUUGAGCAGGACACUGAAGGCUAGUGAUGUGGGAACUAGAAGUGAGUGGGGACAGACACCCAAAGAAACAGUGGAUGUCAAGCACGGAGAUGUCAAAACAACCUGACACCCUGGGAUGAGAGCUGGCCAACUGCUACAGAGGCAGGGUGAACAAGAAGUUCAAGCACAGAGAGAUGCAUCUCAUUUCAGGUUAGAAAAGACAUUCAAGUACCCAUUCUUCUGUACCAUUACUGAAUUCUAGAAAAGACACUUCACUUAUCCCACACUUGAAUCUGGUACACGUAUGGGUUCAAAUCCUGGCUCUGCUGCUUGCCAACUACAUGACCCUGUCGGUUCUCCACAUAGUAACCAGGUUGAUCAGACUGAUUUGAACAGGAGGUGGAAACAAGGCUCUUUUUAUAUUGCAGUUUCCAAGAUUGUGGGCAGAAGGUAUUUUUACAUUUCUAAAUGAAGUACUG
rnacentral:lncRNA from 1 species